CGGGGUGAGUAAUGCCUAGGAAUCUGCCUGGUAGUGGGGGACAACGUUUCGAAAGGAACGCUAAUACCGCANACGUCCUACGGGAGAAAGCAGGGGACCUUCGGGCCUUGCGCUAUCAGAUGAGCCUAGGUCGGAUUAGCUAGCUGGUGAGGUAAUGGCUCACCAAGGCGACGAUCCGUAACUGGUCUGAGAGGAUGAUCAGUCACGCUGGAACUGAGACACGGUCCAGACUCCUACGGGAGGCAGCAGUA
rnacentral:rRNA from 1 species